rnacentral:rRNA from 1 species
AGUGCGGCAGAGGCGGGCGGAAUUCGUGGUGUAGCGGUGAAAUGCUUAGAUAUCACGAAGAACUCCGAUUGCGAAGGCAGCUUGCUGGACCGUAACUGACGUUGAUGCUCGAAAGUGCGGGUAUCAAACAGGAUUAGAUACCCUGGUAGUCCGCACAGUAAACGAUGAAUACUCGCUGUUGGCGAUAUACUGCCAGCGGCCAAGCGAAAGCGUUAAGUAUUCCACCUGGGGAGUACGCCGGCAACGGUGAAACUCAAAGGAAUUGACGGGGGCCCGCACAAGCGGAGGAACAUGUGGUUUAAUUCGAUGAUACGCGAGGAACCUUACCCGGGCUUGAACUGCAGCGGAAUGAUUUGGAAACAGAUCAGCGAGCAAUCGCCGCUGUGGAGGUGCUGCAUGGUUGUCGUCAGCUCGUGCCGUGAGGUGUCGGCUUAAGUGCCAUAACGAGCGCAACCCUUACCGAUAGUUGCCAUCAGGUGACGCUGGGGACUCUAUCGGGACUGCCGUCGUAAGAUGUGAGGAAGGUGGGGAUGACGUCAAAUCAGCACGGCCCUUACGUCCGGGGCUACACACGUGUUACAAUGGGGGGUACAGCAGGCCGCUACCGGGCGACCGGAUGCCAAUCCCUAAAACCCCUCUCAGUUCGGACUGGAGUCUGCAACCCGACUCCACGAAGCUGGAUUCGCUAGUAAUCGCGCAUCAGCCACGGCGCGGUGAAUACGUUCCCGGGCCUUGUACACACCGCCCGUCAAGCCAUG